GGCAAGAUGGCCGAGUGGUUAAGGCGGAGCAUUUAAGCCACCUGCUUCUGGUGGGAAAGCUGCUCUCUCGAAAGAGGCGCGAGUUCGAACCUCGCUCUUGUCA